rnacentral:rRNA from 1 species
CGGGACACGUGGUAUCCUGUCUGAAUAUGGGGGGACCAUCCUCCAAGGCUAAAUACUCCUGACUGACCGAUAGUGAACCAGUACCGUGAGGGAAAGGCGAAAAGAACCCCGGCGAGGGGAGUGAAAAAGAACCUGAAACCGUGUACGUACAAGCAGUGGGAGCACGCUUAGGCGUGUGACUGCGUACCUUUUGUAUAAUGGGUCAGCGACUUAUAUUCUGUAGCAAGGUUAACCGAAUAGGGGAGCCGAAGGGAAACCGAGUCUUAACUGGGCGUUAAGUUGCAGGGUAUAGACCCGAAACCCGGUGAUCUAGCCAUGGGCAGGUUGAAGGUUGGGUAACACUAACUGGAGGACCGAACCGACUAAUGUUGAAAAAUUAGCGGAUGACUUGUGGCUGGGGGUGAAAGGCCAAUCAAACCGGGAGAUAGCUGGUUCUCCCCGAAAGCUAUUUAGGUAGCGCCUCGUGAAUUCAUCUCCGGGGGUAGAGCACUGUUUCGGCAAGGGGGUCAUCCCGACUUACCAACCCGAUGCAAACUGCGAAUACCGGAGAAUGUUAUCACGGGAGACACACGGCGGGUGCUAACGUCCGUCGUGAAGAGGGAAACAACCCAGACCGCCAGCUAAGGUCCCAAAGUCAUGGUUAAGUGGGAAACGAUGUGGGAAGGCCCAGACAGCCAGGAUGUUGGCUUAGAAGCAGCCAUCAUUUAAAGAAAGCGUAAUAGCUCACUGGUCGAGUCGGCCUGCGCGGAAGAUGUAACGGGGCUAAACCAUGCACCGAAGCUGCGGCAGCGACGCUGAUGCGUUGUUGGGUAGGGGAGCGUUCUGUAAGCCUGUGAAGGUGUGCUGUGAGGCAUGCUGGAGGUAUCAGAAGUGCGAAUGCUGACAUAAGUAACGAUAAAGCGGGUGAAAAGCCCGCUCGCCGGAAGACCAAGGGUUCCUGUCCAACGUUAAU